CAAGAGCGUAUAUUAAAGUUGCUGCGGUUAAAAAGCUCGUAGUUGGAUUUCAGUCUAGGAAGGUUAACUCGCCGAAAGGUUGUACGUUGAUUUUCUUCAGACUUCGUCAGAAGCUCGUGCUGCACUUAACUGUGUGGUACGAUGUUCUGACCUUUUACCUUGAGGAAAGUAGAGUGUUUCAGGCAGGCUACCCAGCUUGAAUACAUUAGCAUGGAAUAAUGAAAUGGAUCUCGGUUCGAUUUCGUUGGUUCUAGAGCUGAGGUGAUGAUCAAUAGGAACAGGCGAAGGUAUUCGUACUUGAGAGUGAGGAGUGAAAUCCGAUGAUCUCUUAAAGACGAUCCGAGGCGAAAGCAUUUGUCAAGGAUGUUUUCAUUGA
rnacentral:rRNA from 1 species